CUCUCCAAAGUUCCACUCUCUGAACAUCUGUCUAUAAUAAGAUAGAUUUCUCUCUCAAUCAAACCCUAUAAGAGAUCGCUUGGAAGCUCUGUCUCGCUCUACAUAGAAAUCCCAGAUUGCCUGUUCAGAAUUUUCCAAAAUGGUUGAUAGCAAUGCAUCUUCUGGUUCGCCUGAAGAAACUGUCAACCCCAAUUCCGAAGGAAAUGCACCUUCUGAGAAUGACCUUGCACUUGAUACAUUAGCCAGAAAGGUACAAGAGUCUCUUACUCUUGGAAACAGACAUAAAUUUUGGGAAACUCAACCAGUUGGGCAAUUCAAGGAUAUUGGGGACACCAGUUUGGCUGAAGGCCCCAUUGAACCUCCAACACCUUUAUCUGAGGUAAAACAAGAACCCUACAACCUUCCCAACCUUUAUGAAUGGGUUACGUGCGAUAUUGAUUCUGAUGAGAUGUGCACUGAGGUUUACAAUCUUUUGACUAAUAACUAUGUUGAGGAUGACGAGAACAUGUUCAGAUUCAACUAUUCAAAAGAGUUUCUUCGCUGGGCUCUUCGCCCUCCAGGCUACUUCAAGAGCUGGCACAUUGGUGUCUGCGUCAAAAGUUCAAAGAAGCUAGUUGCUUUUAUCACUGGUGUUCCUGCUAGAAUCCGAGUUCGUGAUGAUGUUGUUCUCAUGGCUGAAAUAAAUUUCUUGUGUGUUCAUAAGAA
rnacentral:misc_RNA from 1 species